UGUGUGUGUGUGUUUGUGUGUGUGUGUGUGUACAUACACACGCACACACAUAUACACAUACAUU